rnacentral:rRNA from 1 species
CGUAGGUGGCAAGCGUUGUCCGGAUUUAUUGGGUUUAAAGGGUGCGUAGGUGGCCCUGUAAGUCAGUGGUGAAAUAUCUCAGCUUAACUGAGAGGGUGCCAUUGAUACUGCAGGGCUUGAGUACAGAUGAGGUAGGCGGAAUUGACGGUGUAGCGGUGAAAUGCAUAGAUAUCGUCAAGAACACCGAUAGCGAAGGCAGCUUACCAAGCUGUAACUGACACUGAGGCACGAAAGUGUGGGGAUCAAACAGGAUUAGAUACCCUGGUAGUCCACACUGUAAACGUUGAUGACUCGAUGUUGGCGAUACACAGCCAGCGUCCAAGAGCAAUCGUAAGUCAUCCACCUGGGGAGUACGCCGGCAAACGGUG